rnacentral:rRNA from 1 species
UGUGGGGAAUUUCUUCGAAUGGGCGAAAGCCUGACGGAGCAAUACCGCGUGAGGGAGGAAGGCUCUUGGGUUGUAAACCUCAAAACUUAGGGAAGAAAAAAAUGACGGUACGUAAUGUAAGCAUCGGCUAACUCCGUGCCAGCAGCCGCGGUAAUACGGAGGAUGCAAGCGUUAUCCGGAAUCAUUGGGCGUAAAGAGUCCGUAGGUGGCACUUCAAGUCUGCUGUCAAAGACCGAAGCUCAACUUCGGAAAGGCAGUGGAAACUGAAGAGCUAGAGUAUAGUAGGGGUAGAGGGAAUUCCUAGUGUAGCGGUGAAAUGCGUAGAGAUUAGGAAGAACACCAGUGGCGAAGGCGCUCUACUGGGCAAUACUGACACUGAGGACGAAGUAGGGGCC